ACUUGGGUGGCACAGUGGCUUAGUGGGUGGUAUUGCUACCUCACAACGCCAGGGUCCCCAGUUUGAUUCUGAGCUUGAGUU